GCACUGCUUAGGAGUCCCACAAUAGGACAAAACGGCCGUCCAGUGC
rnacentral:hammerhead_ribozyme from 1 species